rnacentral:tRNA from 1 species
GGCAGUGUAGCCAAGGGGUAAGGCAAAGGUCUGCAAAACCUACACGCAUCGGUUCGAUUUCGAUCACUGCCU